AACGUACGCUGGCGGCACGCCUAACACAUGCAAGUCGAACGNAGUAGCAAUACUUUAGUGGCAGACGGGUGAGUAACAUGUAGGGUAUNUNCCCUUUGGCCUGGAAUAACACGAGGAAACUUGUGCUAAUACCGGAUAAGUCUUUACGGAGAAANCUUUAUGCACCAUUGGAGGAGCCUGCACUAGAUUAGUUUGUUGGUGGGGUAAUGGCCUACCAAGACUGUGAUCUAUAGCUGAUUUGAGAGGAUGAUCAGCCACAUUGGGACUGAGACACGGCCCAAACUCCUACGGGAGGCAGCAGUGGGGAAUCUUGCACAAUGGAGGAAACUCUGAUGCAGCGAUGCCGCGUGAGUGAAGAAGGCCUUUGGGUUGUAAAGCUCUUUCGUCGGGGAAGAAAAUGACUGUACCCGAAUAAGAAGGUCCGGCUAACUUCGUGCCAGCAGCCGCGGUAAUACGAAGGGACCUAGCGUAGUUCGGAUUUACUGGGCUUAAAGAGUUCGUAGGUGGUUGAAAAAGUUGGUGGUGAAAUCCCAGAGCUUAACUCUGGAACUGCCAUCAAAACUUUUCAGCUAGAGUAUGAUAGAGGAAAGCAGAAUUUCUAGUGUAGANNUGAAAUUCGUAGAUAUUAGAAAGAAUACCAAUUGCGAAGGCAGCUUUC
rnacentral:rRNA from 1 species